rnacentral:tRNA from 1 species
GCCUUCGUGGUGUAAUGGUGAGCACGCUCGACGCGUAACCGAGAGAUCCGUGGUUCGAAUCCUGGCGAGGGCA